AUGGAAUUAGCUAAGCAUUUUAUCCGAACAAAUAUAGAACCAGAAUGGAUGGUAUUAUGUCUCUUACCAGUGCUUCCUCCCGAAUUGAGACCAAUUAUUCAAAUAGAUGGCGGUAAACUAAUGAGUUCGGAUAUUAAUGAACUCUAUAGAAGAGUUAUCUAUCGGAACAAUACUCUUAUUGAUCUAUUAACAACAAGUAGAUCUACACCAGAGGAAUUAGUAAUGUGUCAAGAAAAAUUGGUACAAGAAGCCGUGGAUACACUUCUUGAUAAUGGAAUCCGCGGACAACCAAUGAGGGACGACUUUGAUGGGGAUCAAAUGGCUGUUCAUGUGCCUUUAUCUUUGGAGGCUCAAGCAGAAGCUCGUUUACUUAUGUUUUCUCAUACGAAUCUCUUGUCUCCGGCUAUUGGGGAUCCCAUUUGUGUACCAACUCAAGAUAUGCUUAUUGGACUUUACGUAUUAA